rnacentral:rRNA from 1 species
AACGAACGCUGGCGGCAUGCCUAACACAUGCAAGUCGAACGAAGCCUUCGGGCUUAGUGGCGCACGGGUGCGUAACGCGUGGGAAUCUGCCCUUGGGUUCGGAAUAACAGUUAGAAAUGACUGCUAAUACCGGAUGAUGUCUUCGGACCAAAGAUUUAUCGCCCAAGGAUGAGCCCGCGUAGGAUUAGGUAGUUGGUGGGGUAAUAGCCCACCAAGCCGACGAUCCUUAGCUGGUCUGAGAGGAUGAUCAGCCACACUGGGACUGAGACACGGCCCAGACUCCUACGGGAGGCAGCAGUGGGGAAUAUUGGACAAUGGGCGAAAGCCUGAUCCAGCAAUGCCGCGUGAGUGAUGAAGGCCUUAGGGUUGUAAAGCUCUUUUACCAGGGAUGAUAAUGACAGUACCUGGAGAAUAAGCUCCGGCUAACUCCGUGCCAGCCGCCGCCGUAA